rnacentral:rRNA from 1 species
GAAUUCGCCCUUAGAGUUUGAUCCUGGCUCAGGACGAACGCUGGCGGCGUGCUUAACACAUGCAAGUCGAACGAGGUAAAGCCUUCGGGUUUUAUCGAGUGGCGGACGGGUGAGUAACGCGUGAGCAAUCUGUCCCACAAAGGGGGAUAACAACUGGAAACAGUUGCUAAUACCGCAUAAGACCACAGUGCCGCAUGGCACAGAGGUAAAAGGAGCAAUCCGAUGUGGGGUGAGCUCGCGUCCCAUUAGAUAGUUGGUGAGGUAACGGCCCACCAAGUCAACGAUGGGUAGCCGACCUGAGAGGGUGAUCGGCCACAUUGGGACUGAGACACGGCCCAGACUCCUACGGGAGGCAGCAGUGGGGAAUAUUGGGCAAUGGGAGAAAUCCUGACCCAGCAACGCCGCGUGAGGGAAGAAGGUUUUCGGAUUGUAAACCUCUGUCCUUGGUGACGAAGGAAGUGACGGUAGCCAAGGAGGAAGCCCCGGCUAACUACGUGCCAGCAGCCGCGGUAAUACGUAGGGGGCGAGCGUUGUCCGGAAUGACUGGGCGUAAAGGGCGUGUAGGCGGCAUUGUAAGUUUGGAGUGAAAGUCCUACUUUCAAGGUGGGAAUUGCUUUGAAGACUGCAGAGCUUGAGUACAGAAGAGGUAAGCGGAAUUCCCGGUGUAGCGGUGAAAUGCGUAGAGAUCGGGAGGAACACCAGUGGCGAAGGCGGCUUACUGGGCUGUAACUGACGCUGAGGCGCGAAAGCGUGGGGAGCGAACAGGAUUAGAUACCCUGGUAGUCCACGCGGUAAACGAUGAAUGCUAGGUGUAGGGGGUAUCGACCCCUCCUGUGCCGGAGUAAACACAAUAAGCAUUCCGCCUGGGGAGUACGGCCGCAAGGUUGAAACUCAAAGGAAUUGACGGGGGCCCGCACAAGCAGCGGAGCAUGUGGUUUAAUUCGACGCAACGCGAAGAACCUUACCAGGUCUUGACAUUGAAGCAAACCUGUAGAGAUACAGGGUGCCUUCGGGCAGCUGAAAACAGGUGCUGCAUGGUUGUCGUCAGCUCGUGCCGUGAGGUGUCGGCUUAAGUGCCAUAACGAGCGCAACCCUUUUCGGUAGUUACCAUCAUUGAGUUGGGGACUCUACCGACACUGCCAUCGUAAGAUGUGAGGAAGGAUGGGAUGACGUCAAAUCAGCACGGCCCUUACGUCCGGGGCGACACACGUGUUACAAUGGGGAGGACAGCAAGCUGCGACCUGGCGACAGGGAGCGAAUCUCGAAACCUUCUCCCAGUUCGGAUCGGAGUCUGCAACCCGACUCCGUGAAGCUGGAUUCGCUAGUAAUCGCGCAUCAGCCAUGGCGCGGUGAAUACAAUCCCGGGCCUUGUACACACCGCCCGUCA